UACGUAGGGGGCAAGCGUUGUCCGGAAUCAUUGGGCGUAAAGAGCGCGUAGGCGGCCCUGUAAGUCCGCUGUGAAAGUCAAGGGCUCAACCCUUGGAUGCCGGUGGAUACUGCAGGGCUAGAGUCCGGAAGAGGCGAGUGGAAUUCCGGGUGUAGCGGUGGAAUGCGUAGAGAUCCGGAAGAACACCGGAGGCGAAGGCGGCUUGCUGGGCAUUGUCUGACGCUGAGGCGCGAAAGCGUGGGGAGCGAACAGG
rnacentral:rRNA from 1 species